CGGGUGAAAAACCCGUUCGCCGAAAGACCAAGGGUUCCAGUCCAACGUUAAUCGGGGCUGGGUGAGUCGACCCCUAAGGCGAGGCCGAAAGGCGUAGUCGAUGGGAAAAUGGUUAAUAUUCCAUUACUUCUGUGUAAUGCGAUGAGAGGACGGAGAAGGCUAAAUCAGCCUGGCGUUGGUUGUCCAGGUGAAAGGAUGUAGGCAUGUAUCUUAGGCAAAUCCGGGGUACUCUAUGCUGAGAUCUGAUAGCAAGCUGUACUUGUACAGCGAAGUGGUUGAUGCCAUGCUUCCAGGAAAAGUCUCUAAGCUUCAGUUACACAGGAAUCGUACCCGAAACCGACACAGGUGGUCAGGUCGAGUAGACCAAGGCGCUUGAGAGAACUCUGCUGAAGGAACUAGGCAAAAUGGUACCGUAACUUCGGGAGAAGGUACGCUGUUGUUGGUGAUGGAACUCGCUUCCUGAGCUGACGACAGCCGCAGAAACCAGGCCGCUGCAACUGUUUAUUAAAAACAUAGCACUCUGCAAACACGAAAGUGGACGUAUAGGGUGUGAUGCCUGCCCGGUGCUGGAAGGUUAAUUGAUGGGGUUAGCGUAAGCGAAGCUCUUGAUCGAAGCCCCAGUAAACGGCGGCCGUAACUAUAACGGUCCUAAGGUAGCGAAAUUCCUUGUCGGGUAAGUUCCGACCUGCACGAAUGGCAUAAUGAUGGCGGCGCUGUCUCCAGCAGAGGCUCAGUGAAAUCGAAAUCGCUGUGAAGAUGCAGUGUACCCGCGGCUAGACGGAAAGACCCCGUGAACCUUUACUGCAGCUUGACACUGAACUUUGACCUUACUUGUGUAGGAUAGGUGGGAGGCUUUGAAGCUGGAACGCUAGUUCCAGUGGAGCCGUCCUUGAAAUACCACCCUGGUAAUGUUGAGGUUCUAACUCUGUCCCGUGAUCCGGGACGAGGACCGUGUCUGGUGGGUAGUUUGACUGGGGCGGUCUCCUCCUAAAGAGUAACGGAGGAGUACGAAGGUGCGCUCAGCGUGGUCGGAAAUCACGCGUAGAGUAUAAAGGCAAAAGCGCGCUUAACUGCGAGACCCACAAGUCGAGCAGGUACGAAAGUAGGUCUUAGUGAUCCGGUGGUUCUGUAUGGAAGGGCCAUCGCUCAACGGAUAAAAGGUACUCUGGGGAUAACAGGCUGAUACCGCCCAAGAGUUCAUAUCGACGGCGGUGUUUGGCACCUCGAUGUCGGCUCAUCUCAUCCUGGGGCUGAAGCAGGUCCCAAGGGUAUGGCUGUUCGCCAUUUAAAGAGGUACGCGAGCUGGGUUUAGAACGUCGUGAGACAGUUCGGUCCCUAUCUACCGUGGGCGCUGGAAAUUUGAGAGGAUCUGCUCCUAGUACGAGAGGACCAGAGUGGACGAACCUCUGGUGUACCGGUUGUGACGCCAGUCGCAUCGCCGGGUAGCUAUGUUCGGAAGGGAUAACCGCUGAAAGCAUCUAAGCGGGAAGCCUACCUCAAGAUAAGAUUUCCCUAGGACUUUAUGUCCUCUAAAGAGCCGUUCGAGACUAGGACGUUGAUAGGUUGGAUGUGGAAGCAUAGUGAUAUGUGAAGCUGACCAAUACUAAUUGCUCGUGAGGCUUGACU
rnacentral:rRNA from 1 species